GAUGAACGCUAGCUACAGGCUUAACACAUGCAAGUCGCGGGGCAGCAUGGGGGUUGCUUGCAACCCCUGAUGGCGACCGGCGCACGGGUGAGUAACGCGUAUCCAACCUGCCCUUCACCACGGGAUAACCCGGCGAAAGUCGCACUAAUACCGUAUGUUGUCCAUUGACGGCAUCCGAUUUGGACGAAAGUCUGGGCGGUGAAAGGCUGGGGAUGCGUCCGAUUAGCUUGACGGCGGGGUAACGGCCCACCGUGGCUACGAUCGGUAGGGGUUCUGAGAGGAAGGUCCCCCACACUGGAACUGAGACACGGUCCAGACUCCUACGGGAGGCAGCAGUGAGGAAUAUUGGUCAAUGGGCGUAAGCCUGAACCAGCCAAGUAGCGUGCAGGAUGACGGCCCUAUGGGUUGUAAACUGCUUUUAUGCGGGGAUAAAGUGGCCCACGUGUGGGCUUUUGCAGGUACCGCAUGAAUAAGGACCGGCUAAUUCCGUG
rnacentral:rRNA from 1 species